CCACUGACAAAAUAAAACUGGCUAAAGAAACAAGUGUUAGUGUAACAAAAAGUCUACCCACGCGAAUAAUAAGCAUUGUGAGUUAUGUAAGAAGGAUGUGAGUACACAACUAUGUAUGCCCAGACGAUAGGGUGGCAAUGUAAAAUCAUUUAAAUUGCUCUUGUGUAUGUUUUCAUUUCCACUUAGUCUUGUCUUUUUUCAGAAUUAUUAAUUUUGUUAGCCAGAAUCAAAUACAUCAGGAAGAAAAUAUCCUUGUGGAAGCCAAAAACAUAACCUGGAGGGGAAAAAAAAGAAUAAAAAUGUUAUAUAUUGAUGCUUCUUAAUACCUAAGUACUGAAAGUAGCAACUGGCAAAAAUCAUGAGGAUAAGAAGUAGAAUUACAGUAGUCUAGAAAAUACAAAUCAUGAAGGUGACAAGAAGAGAUAAGGAAGGUGAGGAGAAUUAGGACACUGUUAAUAGGAAACAAACAGCAAAAGAAAGAUAAAAUGCUUAUAAAGCCAGUUUGUACGGACAUCAGAGCAUUUAAGAGGCAGGUCAAUGACUCCUUCAUUUUGAUGAAUCUAUUGACCUAAGUGAGCACCAUGAUUUUUUAUUUUGGCUUGUUACAACAAGAAAUAAUGUCAUUCAACACCACUGAAAGGAAAUCAAAUGUUUUUCAAAAACUAGACCCCGAUAGUAUUUACAGAGAAUGAAACAAAAUUUAUCAUAUUCAAAAAAGAUGCUUCUCAAGCAAAAAAAAUUUUAAGAAAAUCGAGAGUAGUCAAAAUUGUGCGUGAUCCCAGCUACCCGAACCGAAGACCGGAGGUUUCAUAUGUUAUUUUAUUUGUAACAUACUGUUAGUGAGACCAAUGCUACUUAAUAACUCAGACUUUCUGGAUGAAUAUAUGGAAAGCCUUCAAGACUACCCCACAAAGAUUAAGGACCUGUUCACUUGGAAUUCAUGUAAAUAAAGUAAAAUAUGCGAGGACACUGUCUUAAACACAAGAAAGAACAGAAACUCUUUUGAGUGGUUGCAGUGACGACAUUCUUAAGUUAAAGAGACUUGUCCUUCAGAAAUUACAUGCGAAAUUGCAAUCUUUAAGUAAGGAAAAUGUUAGGAAUAAUUUCAAGUUAAUUGCUGAAUUGAAUUAUUUUUGCACAAGCACUGGGAAAUGUCACAAUGGACAAGAUCUAACUUAUUUGCCCAAGAGAAUGGAUCGAAAUCAUCAGAGAUCCUUUUACAAUGAAGCAGCGGAUAAAAUAAAUAAACCAGACAUCAAGUGUCACUGCACUGUGGUAGAUUCUACGGAGGUUAUAAACACGGGUUAUUGAUAAUUAUUGGAAGUUUCUGUUACGGCAGAAAGCCCUCUAUGGGAUUUUAACCUCUUCACCAACUUAUGACUGUAUAUCUGUGAUGUUAUUCAACAAAAUGAAACUAGUCCUGGACGAUUCUACUCCAUCACUGAACAACAUUUUAAAGUUUGUAGGACAUAAUCUUUGGAGAAAGACCUGAUCCCCCAGUGCCCAAAGCUGUUUAUUACUUCAUUAUUUUGCAACCUUUAUAUGUUGUCUCCACAGGUCUUGUCAAUGGGGCAUUGUAAACUCCUUGCCAGAUUUUUGGAGUUUUGUUUGUUUGUCUAUUUUAGGAGUCUCAACGUGAUAAGAUGGCCUGCACUGUAUGAAGCUGUUGUGAAAUUUAAAGAACUCUAACAUAUGGUUUGAAUACUUGAAAGCAGACUAAACACACUAAGGUGCAAAAGUUUAUUCCAGAAUGAAAAUGAUAUGCUGAGAUUAUUGUCAUCCGAAGAGGGAAUCAAAACAUAUAGUAGCCAAAUUAUGUAGAAAAAGUAUUAAGCAGCACCAUAGGACCCUGAGAUCCUUACCUCAAGGACAAGUGGCUAUUACCAGUGCAGGAUGCAGAAAAAGCAUGCACAUGAAAUUAGAAAGCAGUAAGAGGGCUUUGAAAAACAAAUCCUCAGUUAUCCACAUAUGAAUUCAUUCAUACAGCCUAUAGGCUAUAUGCUGAAAACCUCUUAUGUUCCAGGGCAGAUGUGAGAAAACCAAAAAUAGUAUUCAGCUUCGAGCCUUGGUACAAGGAACCAAUGACUACAGAGGUCCUGGAUUUUGAACAAAUGAUGUAGUGUGACCAAUGAAAGUAACACCAAGGUGUUUGUCCUUUCUGUUUCUCUCUUUGCAUUAACCUGCCCUCUUUAUUCCUCUAGAAACCCUUCUGGCCAAUGAGUCAGAAUAAUAAGCUAGAUUGUAUUAAAGUCAACUUGGCUAAUCUUGAAAUGACAUUUCCAGAUGCUGCUUUUUUCUCCUCUAUUGUAUUUUCAGAUAUUUGUCCCAACCGCUGUCCCAGCUGAGUAAUAGCACCCCCAGGAACCACUAUGAAAUUUUUGGCUACAAACCAGAGGCAAUAAUUACACAGAUGCAAUAGCUUUCUAUGGACCUCUACAUGAGUUUCCCCUUUGUAGUUCCACUUUGGUCACUGUGUAUCUUGGUGUUUUAGUAUCCCCUCCACUUUGUCUCAUAUCUAGAGUUUCAGGAAAAAUGGCACGUGGCUUUUACCUGAUUCUUCAAACUCCCUGUCUGAAUGUUCACUUACCUGCUCUGUUCACAGUUGCAAAAGGUCUAACUCAUGUAAUAAAUCCCUACCCCUUAAUACUAAUAAUGGCACUGAUUCCCUUAGUGAAUUCUAACCAAUAAAUACAGUGAUUGGCUC